UGUUCAGAUAGUGCGUUAACAAUCAGUCAGUACAGCGACGUGAACGUCUAAGCAGACGAGGAAGCCGCCUACAUUACCCAUGAUGCUGUGCUGGAGAAGCACCUUAAAGACACGCCCACCUCAUAACCGGUCAAACAAAUGAAAAUGGCGCGUGCUGCUCACCUGUGAAAGUGUCAGAGCAGUUUUUCGUCUCGUACCGACCAGAUCACAAAGGAUCCUGAUGGUUCGUAACAAUCGCUGCUUUCUGGGACCGUGUGUGGAACCUCCCUGGGUCAGACCGGGCCCAGCAGAGGCCUGAGGAUAAUGAGACGUGAGUGGGCCCAGUCAUGAGUGGAGGGAACCCCCGGAUGUUUUCCUUCUGUCCAGCUGCGCUCUUUGUUUGUGAGCGGAGGGUUCAGCGGUGGCGUUUUCGGGCCGGGCCAGUGUAAACCUGGAGGCACGGCGGCAUCAGCCAGAGAAAACAAACGCCACAGACCAGUGAAGAACCCCUCCUCUUUAUUUACAAACCACAGAGAUCCCCUCUCGUCCUGCGUCGCUGCAGCCGCUGUCUGUUUGCUGAUCGGUGCCUGGGUUUAUUUUUAUAUUGAGUGAUCUAAUCUCCAAACCAAUAACCAGACUUAUUUUCAGACUGUUUAUAUACUUGUUCUUUGGCCGGUGGCUCAUGUUUCGGGACAUUUGUCUCAUUACAGCAGCAUUCUGUCUUUUCUGAGGAGUUCAAGUAAAACAAUGUUCAGGUGAAAUUAGUACUUAUUCAGCGCAGCCACUGUCAAAUUGACAGGAACUAUUUAAAUUACUAUUCAGGAAGAGAAACCGGCCCUUUAGUCUUGGCUGUAGUGAGUCCUGGGAGGACGUGGUCGACCCCCAGCUCCAUAUGAUAUAAAUACGUUUAGUACAAAAACAAUAAGACAAAAGAUUCUCACGGUAUCGAGACCGGACGGGUUCUGAAGAAACAAACUGGGGUAAAACAACAUAAGCUACAGUCCGUGAGCCUCCGUGGUGCUUGACUGGUUGUGUGUUAUAACGUAGUGACCGAUCGUAAUCUGAAACGCAUAGAAUCGAUUACUGGGAGGAAAUGUGUGCACAGUACCAUCAAAAACACAAUAAAAUGUGAAGGUAAAUGUAAAUGAAGUUAAAGAGAUACUGCAGUGACCAAUUAAAUGAUAAAACCUAA